GCGGGAGUUGCCCAGUCUGGUCAGGCGCGAGGCUUAGGACCUCGUCUCGUAGGAGUCCGUGGGUUCGAAUCCCACCUCCCGCA
rnacentral:tRNA from 1 species